GUCCUUUUGAAAUUGAUUUAAGGUCUAGUCUGCCCACUGAAUUAAUUUAAAUGGCCGCAGUAUUUUGACUGUGCAAAGGUAGCAUAAUCAUUAGUUUUUUAAUUAGAAGCUUGUAUGAAAGGCUUGACGAAAUAAAAUCUGUCUCUAUUUAAAUUAUUAUAAAAUUUAAUUUUUAAGUUAAAAAGCUUAAAUAUUAUUAAAAGACGAGAAGACCCUAUAGAGUUUUAUAAAUUAUUUAAUUAAAUUAAUUAAGAAUUAUUAAUAUUUUAUUAAAUAAUUUAUUUUAUUGGGGUAAUAUAAAGAUUUAAAUAAUUCUUUUUUUUGUUAACAUUGAUUUAUGAAUUUAAUGAUCCAAUUUUAUUGAUUAAGAGAUUAAAUUACCUUAGGGAUAACAGCGUAAUAUUUUUAAAGAGUUCAUAUCGAUAAAAAAGUUUGCGACCUCGAUGUUGGAUUAAAAAUUAUUUUAGGUGUAGAAGCUUAAAAAUUUUGGUCUGUUCGACCAUUAAAUUUUUACAUGAUCUGAGUUCAGACCGGUGUAAGCCAGGUCGGUUUCUAUCUUUAAUUAAUUCAAAUAUUUUAGUACGAAAGGACCAAAUAUUUAAUAUAUUAAUAUUUUAAUUUGAAUAUUAUUAAUUUA
rnacentral:rRNA from 1 species